GAUGAACGCUGGCGGCGUGCUUAACACAUGCAAGUCGAACGGGAAAUAUUUCAUUGAGACUUCGGUGGAUUUGAUUUAUUUCUAGUGGCGGACGGGUGAGUAACGCGUGGGUAACCUGCCUUAUACAGGGGGAUAACAGUCAGAAAUGGCUGCUAAUACCGCAUAAGCGCACAGAGCUGCAUGGCUCAGUGUGAAAAACUCCGGUGGUAUAAGAUGGACCCGCGUUGGAUUAGCUAGUUGGUGGAGUAACGGCCCACCAAGGCGACGAUCCAUAGCCGGCCUGAGAGGGUGAACGGCCACAUUGGGACUGAGACACGGCCCAGACUCCUACGGGAGGCAGCAGUGGGGAAUAUUGCACAAUGGGGGAAAACCUGAUGCAGCGACGCCGCGUGAAGGAAGAAGUAUCUCGGUAUGUAAACUUCUAUCAGCAGGGAAGAUAGUGACGGUACCUGACUAAGAAGCCCCGGCUAACUACGUG
rnacentral:rRNA from 1 species